rnacentral:rRNA from 1 species
CGAUCUCCUGGCUCAGGAUGAACGCUGGCGGCGUGCCUAAUACAUGCAAGUCGAGCGAACAGACGAGGAGCUUGCUCCUUUGACGUUAGCGGCGGACGGGUGAGUAACACGUGGGUAACCUACCUAUAAGACUGGGAUAACUUCGGGAAACCGGAGCUAAUACCGGAUAAUAUAUUGAACCGCAUGGUUCAAUAGUGAAAGGCGGCUUUGCUGUCACUUAUAGAUGGAUCCGCGCCGUAUUAGCUAGUUGGUAAGGUAACGGCUUACCAAGGCAACGAUACGUAGCCGACCUGAGAGGGUGAUCGGCCACACUGGAACUGAGACACGGUCCAGACUCCUACGGGAGGCAGCAGUAGGGAAUCUUCCGCAAUGGGCGAAAGCCUGACGGAGCAACGCCGCGUGAGUGAUGAAGGUCUUCGGAUCGUAAAACUCUGUUAUUAGGGAAGAACAAAUGUGUAAGUAACUGUGCACGUCUUGACGGUACCUAAUCAGAAAGCCACGGCUAACUACGUGCCAGCAGCCGCGGUAAUACGUAGGUGGCAAGCGUUAUCCGGAAUUAUUGGGCGUAAAGCGCGCGUAGGCGGUUUUUUAAGUCUGAUGUGAAAGCCCACGGCUCAACCGUGGAGGGUCAUUGGAAACUGGAAAACUUGAGUGCAGAAGAGGAAAGUGGAAUUCCAUGUGUAGCGGUGAAAUGCGCAGAGAUAUGGAGGAACACCAGUGGCGAAGGCGACUUUCUGGUCUGUAACUGACGCUGAUGUGCGAAAGCGUGGGGAUCAAACAGGAUUAGAUACCCUGGUAGUCCACGCCGUAAACGAUGAGUGCUAAGUGUUAGGGGGUUUCCGCCCCUUAGUGCUGCAGCUAACGCAUUAAGCACUCCGCCUGGGGAGUACGACCGCAAGGUUGAAACUCAAAGGAAUUGACGGGGGCCCGCACAAGCGGUGGAGCAU